UUACAGAUAUGUCAGUCACUGAAAGAAAGACUCAAAAGUGGUACAUAUGUUCUAUCAGCGCUAUUCCUAUACUUCCCCUUCUUAAGACUUGUUGUGUCUUUUACUUUAGUUUUUGUACACAAGCUUCAAACAGCUGAACAUAUUUUGGGGUUAUGGAAAACAUAUUUCACAGCGUUUUAGAUGGUACAAUGAUUAUCUACACCAGGGGUGUCAAACACAUUACACGGAGGACCUAGGUUGGCUAUAGUUUCAAUGAAGCCCUAGACAACCAGGUGAGGGGAGUUCCUUACUGAGACAACCAGGUGAGGGGAGUUCCUUACUGAGACAACCAGGUGAGGGGAGUUCCUUACUGAGACAACCAGGUGAGGGGAGUUCCUUACUGAGACAACCAGGUGAGGGGAGUUCCUUACUGAGACAACCAGGUGAGGGGAGUUCCUUACUGAGACAACCAGGUGAGGGGAGUUCCUUACUGAGACCUAGACAACCAGGUGAGGGGAGUUCCUUACUGAGACCUAGACAACCAGGUGAGGG